rnacentral:lncRNA from 1 species
AUGGAUGAAGGCAGAAUGUAGGCCAGGAAUCUUCUCCUUAAAAUUCUCAACAAGGUCACUUAGGUCAAUGGCCUAUCACGAAACAAAACCUUACAACAAGUACUAGGAUUUGAGAAUUGAUGAAUGUUAUGAUGAAUCACUAUACAGUUGUUAUGUGACAUGGGAUGAGCGUCUCCAGCUUUGUCCUUCCUCAGAUUAUGAAGACAUGAUAACAACAGGGCCAAAACCACGCAUCCUUGCUGCUGAACCUCUGUCUUGGGAGGGAGCUGUUUCUAAGUCUUCAAUGCUGUCAUCAUCCACCUCUGAUCAUUUUUCCUGAAUGACAUCAAGUAUGUCAUCUGUAAUGGCCUCCCCGAAUGAUCAUUUCAUCCUCUCCUGUUACUGAGGCACCACAGACUCUUUGAGAAAAAAUAAAAAAUG